CCUACGGGUGACAGCAGUGGGGAAUAUUGGGCAAUGGGCGCAAGCCUGACCCAGCAACGCCGCGUGAAGGAAGAAGGCUUUCGGGUUGUAAACUUCUUGUGUCAGGGAAGAGUAGAAGACGGUACCUGACGAAUAAGCCACGGCUAACUACGGGCCAGCAGCCGCGGUAAUACUUAGGUGGCAAGCGUUAUCCGGAUUUACUGGGUGUAAAGGGCGUGUAGGCGGGACUGCAAGUCAGAUGUGAAAACCAUGGGCUCAACCAAUGGCCUGCAUUUGAAACUGUAGUUCUUGAGUGAUGGAGAGGCAGGCGGAAUUCCGUGUGUAGCGGUGAAAUGCGUAGAUAUACGGAGGAACACCAGUGGCGAAGGCGGCCUGCUGGACAUUAACUGACGCUGAGGCGCGAAAGCGUGGGGAGCAAACAGGAUUAGAUACCCCAGUAGUC
rnacentral:rRNA from 1 species